rnacentral:rRNA from 1 species
UAGGGAAUCUUCCACAAUGGACGCAAGUCUGAUGGAGCAACGCCGCGUGAGUGAAGAAGGUUUUCGGACCGUAAAGCUCUGUUGUUGGUGAAGAAGGAUAGAGGUAGUAACUGGCCUUUAUUUGACGGUAAUCAACCAGAAAGUCACGGCUAACUACGUGCCAGCAGCCGCGGUAAUCGUAGGUGGCAAGCGUUGUCCGGAUUUAUUGGGCGUAAAGCGAGCGCAGGCGGAGAAUAAGUCUGAUGUGAAAGCCCUCGGCUUAACCGAGGAAUUGCAUCGGAAACUGUUUUCUUGAGUGCAGAAGAGGAGAGUAGAACUCCAUGUGUAGCGGUGGAAUGCGUAGAUAUAUGGAAGAAUACCAGUGGCGAAGGCGGCUCUCUGGUCUGCAACUGACGCUGAGGCUCGAAAGCAUGGGUAGCGAACAGGAUUAGAUACCCUGGUAGUCCAUGCCGUAAACGAUGAGUGCUAAGUGUUGGGAGGCUUCCGCCUCUCAGUGCUGCAGCUAACGCAUUAAGCACUCCGCCUGGGGGAGUACGACCGCAAGGUUGAAAC